GAUAGGAGGAGCCGCUAUGAACGCAGUUCAUAAUCGGAAUCGGCUCCGACGACCUGCCCCGCUGCGGAGCAGAGGGGCGAUACAUAUU
rfam:Coprococcus eutactus CAG:665 genomic scaffold, scf107